rnacentral:tRNA from 1 species
UCCCGUGUAGCUCAGUUGGUAGAGCAUGGUGUUUGCAACGCCAGGAUUGUGGGUUUGAUUCCCACGGGGAA